GCAAGGCCAAAUAGGGGUUCAUAAGGUACGGCCCGUACUGAACCCGGGUAGGCUGCUUGAGCCAGUGAGCGAUUGCUGGCCUAGAUGAAUGACUGUCCAACGACAGAACCCGGCUUAUCGGUCAGUUUCACCU
rnacentral:RNase_P_RNA from 1 species